UACGGAGGAUGCAAGCGUUAUCCGGAAUCAUUGGGCGUAAAGGGUCCUGAGGUGGUUUGCUAAGUCUACUGUGAAAGAUCAGGGCUCAACCCUGAAGAUGCGGUGGAAACUGGCAGGCUAGAAUACGGUAGGGGCAGGGGGAAGUUCCCGGUGUAGCGGUGAAAUGCGCAGAUAUCAGGAGGAACACCGGUGGCGAAGGCGGUUCUCUGGGCAUUACCUGACGCUGAGGAGCGAAAGUGUGGGGAGCGAACAGG
rnacentral:rRNA from 1 species